UACGGAGGGAGCUAGCGUUGUUCGGAAUUACUGGGCGUAAAGCGCACGUAGGCGGCUUUGCAAGUUAGAGGUGAAAGCCUGGGGCUCAACUCCAGAACUGCCUUUAAAACUGCAUCGCUUGAAUCCAGGAGAGGUGAGUGGAAUUCCGAGUGUAGAGGUGAAAUUCGUAGAUAUUCGGAAGAACACCAGUGGCGAAGGCGGCUCACUGACUGGUAUUGACGCUGAGGUGCGAAAGCGUGGGGAGCAAACAGG
rnacentral:rRNA from 1 species